GCAUAAUCAUUAGUUCUUUUAUUGGGAGCUGGAAUGAAAGGUAGCAACUGAAUAGAAAGGUUUUAUUUAAUAAUUUUGAAUUUAAUUUAGAAGUAAAAAAGCUUUUAUUAAUCCUUGGGACGAGAAGACCCUAGAAGCUUAAAAUUAAUAAUUUUUAGUUGGGGCAAUUUAUGAAGAUUUUAAUUUUUAAUGUAGUUAAAUAAGGUAAAUAAAAGUUACUCUAGGGAUAACAGCGUUAUUUAAGUGGAUAGUUCAUAUGUAUAUUUAGGUUUGCGACCUCGAUGUUGAAUUAAAU
rnacentral:rRNA from 1 species